rnacentral:sRNA from 1 species
ACGGAGCCUUGGUAGCACCAGUCUGCCUCUUGGCCGGCGACACUCGCCUGUAGCUGGAAACUUUUCCUCCCGUGGGUUAAGAACCAGCUGCUGCAUGCUAAAGUUUUCCAUGUAGCUCACAGAUCAAACGCGGGUGGUCCCCUAUGGUCCUUUCCCCUUCGAACACCCCCCCGCCAGGUGAAAAACCUAGGCUUGGAGGGGAGAUUUAAAGGGGGAAAUUUUCCGCUUGGGGGUUAAGAGAUGACCGUAGCAGCUCUGCGAAGAGUCUGAUAAACUAGUUCCGUAGGUGAACCUGCGGAAGGAUCAUUAAUGAGAGGGGGGCUCCGCGCUCUAGGGGUUCACGCCCCGCACCUUUCCACCCUUUGUGUACCAUCCACUGUUGCUUUGGCGGUCCCCGGGGUUCUCCCCCGGCGUUGGCCCCUAUCCAUGGGGCUCGCGAGCGCCCGCCAGAAGCCCAUCGAAAACCUGUUUCAUCGGAGAAGUCAGAGUUUCUACGAAUGAAUUAAAACUUUCAACAACGGAUCUCUUGGUUCUGGCAUCGAUGAAGAACGCAGCGAAAUGCGAUAAGUAAUGUGAAUUGCAGAAUUCAGUGAAUCAUCGAAUCUUUGAACGCACAUUGCGCCCCCCGGCAUUCCGGGGGGCAUACCUGUUCGAGCGUCAUUAAACCCCUCAAGCUCUGCUUGGUAUUGGGCGUUCGCACCCCGCAGCAUGGGCGGGCGCGCCCGAAAACGAGUGGCGGUCCCGGGAGACUUCAAGCGCAGUAACUGAACCCGUUUUGGAAGCUUUCUGCCCGGUGGCUCGGCCAACGAAUGACUUUCAAGAAUUGACCUCGGAUCAGGUAGGGAUACCCGCUGAACUUAAGCAUAUCAAUAAGCGGAGGAAAAGAAACCAAACUGG